rnacentral:rRNA from 1 species
GUAAAGCUCUUUUACCCGGGAUGAUAAUGACAGUACCGGGAGAAUAAGCCCCGGCUAACUCCGUGCCAGCAGCCGCGGUAAUACGGAGGGGGCUAGCGUUGUUCGGAAUUACUGGGCGUAAAGCGCACGUAGGCGGUUACUCAAGUCAGAGGUGAAAGCCCGGGGCUCAACCCCGGAACUGCCUUUGAAACUAGGUGACUAGAAUCUUGGAGAGGCGAGUGGAAUUCCGAGUGUAGAGGUGAAAUUCGUAGAUAUUCGGAAGAACACCAGUGGCGAAGGCGACUCGCUGGACAAGUAUUGACGCUKAGGUGCGAAAGCGUGGGGAGCAAACAGGAUUAGAUACCCUGGUAGUCCACGCCGUWAACGAUGAUAACUAGCUGUCCGGGCACAUGGUGUUUGGGUGGCGCAGCUAACGCAUUAAGUUAUCCGCCUGGGGAGUACGGUCGCAAGAU